CGGGGGAUGAGUAGAGUGGCGCACGGGUGAGUAACACGUAGGUAAUUUGCCUUCGGGUGGGGAAUAACAGCCGGAAACGGCUGCUAAUACCGCAUAAUGCAGCGGCACCUUAUGGUGACAGUUGUUAAAGCGGGGGAUCGCAAGACCUCGCGCCUGAAGAGAAGCCUGCGGCGGAUUAGCUUGUUGGUAGGGUAAUGGCCUACCAAGGCGACGAUCCGUAACCGGCCUGAGAGGGCGGUCGGUCACACUGACACUGACAUACGGGUCAGACUCCUACGGGAGGCAGCAGUCGGGAAUUUUGGGCAAUGGGCGAAAGCCUGACCCAGCAACGCCGCGUGAAGGAUGAAAUCCCUCGGGAUGUAAACUUCGCAAGAAUGGGAAGAAUAAGUGCGGGCUAACACCACGCACGAUGACGGUACCAUUUGUAAGCUCCGGCUAACUCCGUGCCAGCAGCCGCGGUAAUACGGGGGGAGCAAGCGUUGUUCGGAUAUACUGGGCGUAAAGGGCGCGUAGGCGGCCACGACAAGUCACUUGUGAAAUCUCCGGGCUUAACUCGGAACGGUCAAGUGAUACUGUCGGGCUGGAGUGCAGAAGGGGCAACUGGAAUUCUCGGUGUAGCGGUGAAAUGCGUAGAUAUCGAGAGGAACACCUGCGGCGAAGGCGGGUUGCUGGGCUGACACUGACGCUGAGGCGCGAAAGCCAGGGGAGCGAACGGGAUUAGAUACCCCGGUAGUCCUGGCCUUAAACGAUGAAUGCUUGGUGUCUCGGGUUACAUAGUCCCGGGGUGCCGUCGCUAACGCUCUUAGCAUUCCGCCUGGGGAGUACGGUCGCAAGACUGAAACUCAAAGGAAUUGACGGGGACCCGCACAAGCGGUGGAGCAUGUGGUUUAAUUCGACGCA
rnacentral:rRNA from 1 species